UAACUGCACACAAUCACCCCAACUGCUGGAACUACACUAUAAAUGCUGCAACGCAAUAUUCAGGAAAUUUCUUCGCGGUGCUGUUGGUACACUGUCGCUCACUGGCAGUUAUGUUACACACACAUCGCAAAGAUUAAGAUACCUUGUGUCUCUGGUCAGAAUUCACACACUUUCCUUUUUGUAACUGAAACGGUUGGCUAAUUGAGCCAUUUUUCGUAGACCUUUGCAAGGUAUCUGAGUGUUUUGCGAGUGAAAUGCAUCCGAAUUCGGGUGAGAUUUUUUAGCAUUCUGAUGACUGGUCGCGUCACAAACUCCUAAACGAAACAAGCCCGAAAUGUCAACCAUGCACCCUAUUCAAUCUUGUGGAGUUGUCAGAAAAUAGCACCGCUUACGUUAGUAACAGCCUGUGGAGAGUGUUAUCAGAGGCCUUGUACACGGUGUUUCCGGGAGAACCUCGUUGCCUUUCACUACAGUGCGAGUGACUGCAGUACUCUGUAAUUGCUAGCGACUUUGCAGUCAUCGAGAAACCACGACAUCAUGGCACUAAACUUACGACCCGUGAUUCCUAUUUAUGGCGGCCAGUCCGACCGAAAUUGCUGUGGAUUGUUCGAAUCAGGUUUCGUUUUUUCCUUUCCUGAAUGCAGAAUUCGGUGCUAAUUGCCUUGUGAACUCCUCGCUCUCCCUGGGGAUCCAUAUGCCCCGCUGCGCCCGUGACCUUGGCUUGGAAGAAGCCCAGCAGUCUAGCUCCGCCAUCGCCGUCCUCCAGCAAACAACGACACAUCCCCGAUCAGGAAAUCUUCAAACGGCCUCGACUUUCCAACAACCCCAACCUAUCGCACCUCUGUAUCCUCGCACGAACGCCGCACCAGCAUGGAAUAAAUCCAGUUCAACGUGGGCAAGACAAUCCGCCUGCAACCAGCUGCCCAGCCGACCGGCGCCCACUGGGAGAUCAGCGGUAGUAAGACUGAACGUCCGCUUGAAUCUCUAGGGUAGCAAAGAAAAGAGCAGAAAUAUUCCCAGCGGAUCUGUUGGAGCGGUGCAGCUGUUAGAGAGUUGGUGCUGGAAUUGUCCAACCAAGCGACGACCAGUCGAAUUUUGCCGCCAUCGACAACCACCGGCAAACAGCGAGCGUCAAGAGCGCGUGUGCCUAAGCGGGAGUCGAAGGAGUGAAUUCUAAUCUGCCAGAUCGGUUUCAAGUGCCAGUGUGCCACCACUGCAACAGUAUGCCCUCUUGCACCGGCGAACACAAUCUGGACGCUGCCGUUACAGAGAUGAAAGUAGAGAAAUGUCCAAGAAAGCGGUCUGGGAAAACGCUGCGCAAACGCGGAAGUAAAGUUCCAGUGCGGAUGUGUAGCAGCGGGGAGUUCGACUGUGGCUAGUCAGGCUCGAUAUACGAUCCCUCGCAAGCAGCCUCAAGACGGUGACCUCAGCCUCUGAUGGUAUGGGCGAAGGAGGAAAGGCGAAAGCGUGAAACAAAUCGAUGAGAAAUCGGAGCGGAAUAGUUCAUGCGGGGAUCGACCCUGAAAGGAGCGAAGCGUGUUGCAUGCCCACUGGAGCUAAGACGAUGGUGGCGGGGCUAAGGAAGCCGGCCGACUAUUGUUCAUCGCAUGAUGCGUUGCUCGCUGGAAGCAGCCAAAAUUUCCACCGGCAGUCGCCUGUCAGCCUGUGACAGGCGACUGCCGGUGAUUUCCCACGGAGAUCCCAACGUGACUCGGUGUUUGACUAUGCAUUCUGGUCAUUGGGCAGUGGGCAAGGUGAUAGGUGGUAUUUCAGGAGAAAGAGGUAAGGUUCAAAGCGGCGUCGGCGGUUAUAACUUGUUAUGACAGAUAGAGAAAGCGGAAAACAGCAGAUUUGUUGAGAAUCGUAGUGCAACGGUUCGAUGGCGAUACACAUUUUCGUGAUACAUGUUUUCUGUUGUGAAGUCUAUCAUGCUUUAAAAGAGUCUGUUCAUAUUUCCGGAUAGUUUUUCUGGUUGCGGCCUGGCAUUGCUGUCAGAAUUUUUAUCGAGUAGAUUUGGCUCUCGAUGAGCAGAAUUCGUAAUUAUGAAAUGGCAAUAACACGAUUAAGCAAUACUGCUUCACUUUAUGCUUGCGGAAUCUUAUCCGCUUUUCUAGGAUCUAUCCUAGAUAAAUGCUAGCGCAAUUACCUUGACAUUUUAAAUGGGGUGUGCUCGUCUGAAAACCAUGCGAUUUUUGUUCGUUUUCCUGUGCUUUUUGCUUUUAUUUGUGCUACGAGAAAAUGAUUUAUAAGCACGAGGUUUUGGAAUUUUACACAAGCCCAGUAUUUUGGGACGGAAUAACGAUUUACUGUCAGUCUGUCAUCAAUUGCAAAGCAUUUAAUAAAAUA